rnacentral:rRNA from 1 species
UACGUAGGGGGCAAGCGUUGUCCGGAAUCAUUGGGCGUAAAGAGCGUGUAGGCGGCCAGAAAAGUCCGCUGUGAAAACUCGAGGCUCAACUUCGAGCUGUCGGUGGAAACUUUCUGGCUAGAGUCCGGAAGAGGAGAAUGGAAUUCCUGGUGUAGCGGUGAAAUGCGCAGAUAUCAGGAAGGAACACCCGGUGGCGAAGGCGG